UAUGUUGAGUGGGCACUUAAGUUUUAUACUUUUAUGAUGAAUUCUGUUUUUGUAGUAUCAACUUGGACAUUCAGCCCCAUGAGCACCAUGAUCUUGAUGGCACUGCAACAGCUGUGGCGUAUUGUAGAGGAUGCAAAACAGGGAUAGGCUACAAAAUUAUUUGUGAACAUGAUCCCGAUAAUGCAGCCCUCGAAGGAACGGUUGCUCUGAAAAUGACCUUGCUACAUUUUUGGAAUGGUCAAGAUAUAUUUUCCUUCAUGGUACACGUGCCAAUGCCUCGGCUGCCGCUGCCACCACUGCAUCUACAUGAGCCUCCAUUCUUCUUGUGUAUAGUAUGCAAUACCCAGGUUGCUUGGAAGCAAGGAGUGUAUAAAAUAGAUUUGGUGAGUCCGAGAAUCUUUUUCUCAGAGAGUAUUGAAUUGGUGGCUGAGCCCCCUGGGCACCAUUUUCUUCAUUCGAGUGGCACUUCGCGGCUAGCAUAUGUGAAAUGCAAAGGAUGC